AUAAUGAUCCAUUUGCAGUGACGAUGACAAUCAAAGGUGCAGAGACUUCUUGGUUUUCAUGAUCAUCAACAGAUCGAUACAGAAGAGGAAACUUAAGGUUAAUACCUUUCUACAUUGUGUGCUAAUUGGAUUAAUGUGAAAUGAAAUGUGUGCUUACCUGGAAAAAGAAAAUAGGAAAUUUCUACAAAAUGGCUGUAAACAAAAUGGAGUACAAUCAUAGAUUCACAAGAACACAAUUGUGUAAUUGCAACAACCUGCACUGAAGGAUUAGGGAGAAAUGUAGAAAAAAUAGUAUUUUUUUGUCGAAAUAAACACCUGCUUUAUCCAUUCAUGUACAUAGCUCUGUCAUAUCAACUAUAUAGAGGAAGAUGUUUGAAGAACAAAUUGCAAAAAUGUAUUCUCUACCAAUUGAAGGAAGAUGUCUGGUGGAUGCAAUUAUUUAUGCACUGAACUGUUUUGUAGGGGAUUGAAUACUUGUACGCAGCAGAAAAGUUAAAUUAACAUGAAAAGUGGUUAUUUUAUUUAAUCCGCAAAUAUGAGCACAAUAUUAAUAACAUCACAAAUAGUAUGAUAUUCAUAGCGUUUUGCUUAUUAUUGUAUUGUCUCAAACAGCUAGCCUAUUGUUUUUGUAUGUCAUGUUACUCAUCAGUGAACAUUUUAUUAAAGUUUUAAUUAUC